UACGGGGGGAGCAAGCGUUGUUCGGAUUUACUGGGCGUAAAGGGCGCGUAGGCGGUCAGCACAAGUCAGUUGUGAAAUCUCCGGGCUUAACUCGGAAAGGUCAACUGAUACUGUGCGACUAGAGUGCAGAAGGGGCAACUGGAAUUCUCGGUGUAGCGGUGAAAUGCGUAGAUAUCUGGAGGAACACCGGUGGCGAAGGCGGCAUCCUGGACCAACACUGACGCUGAGGAGCGAAAGCCAGGGGAGCAAACGGG
rnacentral:rRNA from 1 species